GACGAACGCUGGCGGCGUGCUUAACACAUGCAAGUCGAACGGAAAGGCCCUGCUUGCAGUGUACUCGAGUGGCGAACGGGUGAGUAACACGUGGGUGAUCUGCCCUGCACUUCGGGAUAAGCCUGGGAAACUGGGUCUAAUACCGGAUAGGAGCCAUUUUUAGUGUGAUGGUUGGAAAGUUUUUUCGGUUUAGGAUGAGCUCGCGGCCUAUCAGCUUGUUGGUGGGGCAAUGGCCUACCAAGGCGGCGUCGGGUAGCCGGCCUGAGAGGGUGGACGGCCACAUUGGGACUGAGGUGCGGCCCAGACUCCUACGGGAGGCAGCUGGGGGGAAGAUUGCACAAUGGGCGCAAGCCUGAUGCAGCGACGCCGCGGGGGGGAUGACGGCCUUCGGGUUGUAGACUCCUUUCGCUAGGGACGAAGCUUUUUGUGACGGUACCUAGAUAAGAAGCACCGGCUAACUACGUG
rnacentral:rRNA from 1 species